rnacentral:piRNA from 1 species
AGUCAAAGGAGAACAUUUUGGAGCUCUAAGU